rnacentral:rRNA from 1 species
UACCAGCUCUCCGAGUUGUAGGGAUGAUUAUUGGGCUUAAAGCGUCCGUAGCUGGCUUAGCAAGUCUCCUGUUAAAUUCAGCGACCUAAUCGUUGAGCCGCGGGAGAUACUACUAGGCUAGGAGGCGGGAGAGGUCGACGGUACUUUCGGGGUAGGGGUGAAAUCCUAUAAUCCCGGGAGGACCACCAGUGGCGAAGGCUGUCGACUAGAACGCGCUCGACGGUGAGGGACGAAAGCUGGGGGAGCGAACCGGAUUAGAUACCCGGGUAGUCCCAGCUGUAAACUAUGCGGGCUAAGUGUUGGGGUGGCUACGGGCCACUUCAGUGCCGCAGGAAAGCCAUUAAGCCCGCCGCCUGGGGAGUACGGCCGCAAGGCUGAAACUUAAAGGAAUUGGCGGGGGAGCACCACAAGGCGUGAAGCUUGCGGUUC